AACUAUCAAAACACACCUUCCUUGGGAGUGUUUUGGACUUUGGGAGUGUUUUGCUGGUCUGCUUGAGCCCGGCUCUCCUCAAAAGCAUCAUCAGAUUUUGGAGACUGUCAGCGUGAUAACCUUGUCUGCGUUGACUCUCCAAUGACACAUGCCC
rnacentral:misc_RNA from 1 species